AGAUAUGCGUUGAAGCGGGAGGUUGCGGCGCAAAUGCGCCGGUUUUUCCGUGGAGUAUGUCCGAUUUUAAACCGGGCGACAA
rfam:Clostridium sp. W14A NODE_8, whole genome shotgun sequence.